rnacentral:lncRNA from 1 species
GUGUUUUCAUGGAAAUCAAACCAACAAAUGCAUCACUUUCAAGUCUUUGGAGAGUCAAUGAAGAAAAAUCACAAAGAAGGACCUUUAAGUAAAUGACAGCAACAGAGCCAUGUACUAACAAGAUGAAGAUUUGUAUGGAAGACACCGCUCCCAACCUUGAGUCUAUUUGUGGCUGUGGUGCAUAUGCCCUGAGAGGAAGAAAUCAAUGACUAGGCUCAAUAUGAAAACCGAGGAAUCCAUAGUCAACUAGAUCUAGGUCAGUGAUAAUUAAAUCUUUCUCCUGAUUUUAAUCAGAUUAACUUAAUUUAGCCAAUUUAUUUUCACUGAAAUAAGUUUUGUAGUUAUAUUCUGUGAAUUGAAG